UACGUAGGGUGCGAGCAUUAAUCGGAAUUACUGGGCGUAAAGCGUGCGCAGGCGGUUUUGUAAGCCAGAUGUGAAAUCCCCGGGCUUAACCUGGGAAUGGCAUUUGGGACUGCAAGGCUCGAGUGCGGCAGAGGAGACUGGAAUUCCUGGUGUAGCAGUGAAAUGCGUAGAUAUCAGGAGGAACACCGAUGGCGAAGGCAGGUCUCUGGGCUGACACUGACGCUCAUGCACGAAAGCGU
rnacentral:rRNA from 1 species